UACGUAGGGCGCAAGCGUUGUCCGGAAUUAUUGGGCGUAAAGAGCUCGUAGGCGGUCUGUCGCGUCGGAUGUGAAAGCCCGGGGCUUAAACCCCGGGUCUGCAUUCGAUACGGGCAGACUAGAGUGUGGUAGGGGAGAUCGAAUUCCUGGUGUAGCGGUGAAAUGCGCAGAUAUCAGGAGGAACACCGGUGGCGAAGGCGGAUCUCUGGGCCAUUACUGACGCUGAGGAGCGAAAGCGUGGGGGAGCGAAACAGG
rnacentral:rRNA from 1 species